rnacentral:rRNA from 1 species
CGAGCACGCGCGUGUGGCAUAUCAAUAAGCGGAGGAAAAGAAACUAACAAGGAUUCCCCUAGUAACGGCGAGUGAAGCGGGAAGAGCUCAAAUUUGAAAUCUUAAAGGGUCUCCCUUUACGAAUUGUAGUUUAAAGAAGUGUUUUCUGUUGGAGUUUUCGGUAAAAGUUCUUUGGAGUAGGACAUCAUAGAGGGUGAGAAUCCCGUAUUUGACCGUUACUUUCCAGCUGUGUGAUACACUUUCAAAGAGUCGGAUUGUUUGGGAAUGCAGUCCAAAAUGGGUGGUAAAUUUCAUCUAAAGCUAAAUAUUGGCGAGAGACCGAUAGCGAACAAGUACCGUGAGGGAAAGAUGAAAAGAACUUUGAAAAGAGAGUUAAACAGUACGUGAAAUUGUCAAAAGGGAAGCGUUUGACACCAGUGUUGUUUAGUUGAAAAUCAAUUCAAUAGUUUUUGAUUUUGAGUAGUAUUGACUUCAUCAGCUUGCUGCUCUCUUUCGGAAAUUAUUGAAUGCACUUUUCAGUUAACAAGUCAACAUCAAUUUCUUUUGUUGUAAAAGGGUAAGAGGAAGGUGGCUUACGUUUCGGCGUAAGUGUUUAUAGCCUUUUACCUCUGCAAUCGGAGAGAUUGAGGACAGCAGCGUAGAUCCUUCGGGGUUAGAUACACUUGUGCUAAGCUAUAGCCUUGUAUAGACAACUUGUUGACUAUGCUCAGUCAUGUAGCUUACUCGCUUGUGCUAUUUUACCUACGCUUAGGAUGUUGAGUCAUCACACAUCUCU